AUUCUCUCUCUCUCUCUCUCUCAAAAUAUUUUUUUUUUUAAGUUACGGAUUAAUUUAUUCUUUGUAUGCACAAAUGUCUCUUGGUACCUCUGAAGUGUCUGGCAGAUGGAUUAGGCACAGUUUAUAAUGGAAGUAAGUUUGCUCUUUGUAGCUAUAACACGGUGUAGGUAAUGCUGUAGUAGAGGUGAAAAUUAGAACCACCAGGACCCUUGAAAAGAGCUAAAUUCUAUUUGGAGCCUUUCUCAAAUGCUUUUAUGAAGAGGCUUCAUUUGAAUGGGUCCUUGAAGGAGGAGUAGGAGUUUCCUUGUUUAGAGGUGGGGAAAAAAAAUCUAUGCAGACAUGCAACAUGAAUUGAGGCAUGAAGGUGGGCAUGUAUAUGGUACAUAUGGCAAACUUGGAAGCAACCUCUGUGACUAGAGCAAGGACCACUUAGGAAAGAGCAGGAGGAGGUCGAGCUGGACUGCAGGGUGGUGCCGGAUUGAGAAGACUGACUUUCUCCACAAGUCUGUGAGCAGUGUGAGGUCAGGACCAUGGCCUGUGUUGAAUAAAUGAAUAGGGAAGAUUAGAAGCCAUUUUAAAUUUUGGAGCUCAGGUGUGUCAUUAGCAGAUGGAAGAAUGAGAAGAAACACUGAAAGUUCUUCAAAGGGCCAGCUUUGUAGAACCAUUGUGCUACCCUUUCCUUCUUCCCACAACAGAAAAUGCUUUAUUUACCCACCACUUAUCAACUAUCCAGAAGACUGCCAAGAAACAGAAAAUGUUUAGAGC
rnacentral:lncRNA from 1 species